rnacentral:tRNA from 1 species
GGGCCUGUAGCUCAGUCUGGUCAGAGCGGCGGUCUUAUAAGCCGUAGGUCAGGAGUUCAAUGCAAAGGGGGCACGUCAAGACGCCCCCUUUGCUCAACCCCACUCGGGGCGAACAAAUCCCCUCAGGCCCA